ensembl:misc_RNA Gm56420 predicted gene, 56420
GAGGCACCGAUCACCGCUCCGUCGCUGCCCGCAAGGCCCUCCUUGGCCGCGGACUCUGGAGGCCAGUGCCU